rnacentral:rRNA from 1 species
GAUGAACGCUGGCGGCGUGCCUAAUACAUGCAAGUCGAGCGAACGGACGAGAAGCUUGCUUCUCUGAUGUUAGCGGCGGACGGGUGAGUAACACGUGGAUAACCUACCUAUAAGACUGGGAUAACUUCGGGAAACCGGAGCUAAUACCGGAUGAUAUUUUGAACCGCAUGGUUCAAAAGUGAAAGACGGUCUUGCUGUCACUUAUAGAUGGAUCCGCGCUGCAUUAGCUAGUUGGUAAGGUAACGGCUUACCAAGGCAACGAUGCAUAGCCGACCUGAGAGGGUGAUCGGCCACACUAGAACUGAGACACGGUACAGACUCCUACGGGAGGCAGCAGUAGGGAAUCUUCCGCAAUGGGCGAAAGCCUGACGGAGCAACGCCGCGUGAGUGAUGAAGGUCUUCGGAUCGUAAAACUCUGUUAUUAGGGAAGAACAUAUGUGUAAGUAACUGUGCACAUCUUGACGGUACCUAAUCAGAAAGCCACGGCUAACUACGUG